UGUAGCUUAGUGGUAGAGCACUUGCCUAGAAUGUAUGAGGCUCUGGGUUCGAUCCUUAGCA
rnacentral:tRNA from 1 species